rnacentral:piRNA from 1 species
UACAGCCUGACUCUCCGUGGGAGAGAU